rnacentral:rRNA from 1 species
AUUGAACGCUGGCGGCAUGCCUUACACAUGCAAGUCGAACGGCAGCACGGGAGCAAUCCUGGUGGCGAGUGGCGAACGGGUGAGUAAUAUAUCGGAACGUGCCCGGUCGUGGGGAUAACGUAGCGAAAGCUACGCUAAUACCGCAUACGAUCUACGGAUGAAAGCGGGGGAUCGCAAGACCCCGCGCGAUUGGAGCGGCCGAUAUCAGAUUAGGUAGUUGGUGAGGUAAAGGCUCACCAAGCCGACGAUCUGUAGCUGGUCUGAGAGGACGACCAGCCACACUGGGACUGAGACACGGCCCAGACUCCUACGGGAGGCAGCAGUGGGGAAUUUUGGACAAUGGGCGCAAGCCUGAUCCAGCAAUGCCGCGUGCAGGAUGAAGGGCCUUCGGGUUGGUUAAACGUAGU